UAGUACAAAUAGUAUUAUGCAAUAUUUAGAAAUGAGAACCAAGCUAUUAUAUUUGUUUUGCGUCGUGAUAUGGGCCGCGAAAUCUUGAUGGGCAGUGUACAAAAGACGCGACGCUUUUUGUUCGCCCGCGUAGCUACGCGCCACGUAAUCAGACUACCUCCCCCAGCUUCUCGUUCUUCGCCAUAUAGUGACUAGUGUGCAGUUACCAGUCUACGCAAGUAGGCAACACGUAGAAGGUGGAAGUCAUGCAAGUAUGGAAAAAGGACUGGACAAAGAGCAGAAAGCAAGGGAAAUCGCUGUGAAAUGACUUCCCCUGUGAAGAAAAGAACAACGACGUUGAGACCGACGGCGACGACGGCGACGACGGCGACGACGGCGACGACGGCGACGACGGCGACGACGGCGACGACGACGAUGACGACGAUGACGUCGAGACCGACGGCGAUGCCAGUGACGACGGCAAAAAUUUUGGAACCGACUUCGUUCGUUCCCCCGGGAUAUGUUUCAGCGUCGUUUGUCCCCCCGGGGUAUAUUCCGGCUUCUUUUGUGCCGCCGGGAUACGUUCGAGCAGCAGAAAGCGUAUCCGCGAGACCGAAAAUGGUCUCGCAGCACACUCAGACGCCGGAGAGCCUGAUUGAUCAAAUUAUCCUGCUGAUUUGUCAGUUACUAUUAAUUUCGAAUCUGAUCCAAAUGAAAUAGCACAAAUAAAAUAAAUAACUUCGCAAGUAACAGAUGAACAGUUUGAUGCUGAUGAGAUAGGACAGAUAGAACAAACAGAUACAGCGUCUAUUGAGUAUUCAAAUAUCACAGACACCGAACAACCAAAUUGUUCAACAUCAUUAGUUCCACAGCGCAAAUUGAAACGCAAAUUAUCAACUAAGAAAAAGAAGAAAGAUUCCAUUUUACAUCUUUUCCACGUAUCUCAACAGUCACAGUUAUCUGUGCGCGACAAACAUGUAUACAAUCAAAUAAUACACUUAAUAAAAAUUUCAAGGCAACAGA